AGAUACCACUAAACAACCGAAGGAAAUGGUUCACGCUUAUGUUUUGUUCUGUUUGUGCUGGCGGUGUUUAACUGGUGUGUUCGGUGAGUCGCUGUCGGUGACCGAGGGAGAUUCCGUCACUUUACACACCGACGCUUCUCAGAUACAUCAAGAUGAAGACAUACUGUGGAAAUUUGGAGCUCAAAAGUCUCUUAUAGCUCAAAUCAAGAGAGAAAAACAAAUCUUCCCCGAUGUUAGAUUCAGAGAAGGAGUGAAGCUGGAUCAUCAGACCGGAUCUCUGACCAUCACGAGCGUCUCAACUAAACACACUGGACCCUACGAAGUAAAGAUUAGUGGAGAAAAACGCUCAAUAAAGAAAUUCAGAGUUUCUGUCUAUGCUCGUCUGCCCACUCCCAACAUUACCAGAGAUUCUUCACUGAAUAGUUUAUCAUCAUCACCAUCAUCGAAUUGUUCGUUGUUGUGUUCGGCGGAGAACGUGGGCCACGUGACUCUCUCCUGGUACAAAGGAAACAGUUUAUUGUCCAGCAUCAGUGUGUCUGAUCUCAGCAUCAGUCUCUCUCUACCUCUGGAGGUGGAACAUCAGGAUAAAAACACCUACAGCUGUGUGAUCAACAACCCCAUCAGAAAGCAGACCACACACCUCAAUGUCACUCAGAUCUGUCAAAUUCACUCAGAUCAGAGCCAGCUCUUGUUUUACGUUCUGCUGAUUUCCGCUGCUGCUGGGUCUCUGUUGAUUAUGGCUACAGUUGCGAUGUGCUGCAGGAAAUAAAAAAAACGUUGACACCCAGGAAGAAAACAGAAUGGCAUUGUGUAAACCAACAAGAAAAACGAACUCAAAGAUGGAUAUUGUCCAUCAAAAUUACCCCCAAAACACGAGUUCCAGAUGAAACUACUGGAACUUAAACUGGAUC